AUGAGCACAUGGGCUUUGCUCUCACCACAUAGCAGGCCGGCACUGAUUGGGCUGGACUUAGAUGGGCCAAUAUUACAACUCUCCCCUCGCUCUCACGCCUCAAACUUAGAUGGGCCGAGCACAUCGGCCGUAUGCAAGCGCUGGGGCAGCAUACUGUCCGACCCGGUGUUUCUCAAACUCUUCCGCAAACACCACCGGAAACCUCCUCUGCUCGGCUUCUUCAGAGGGCAUGCUAACAACUUCAUUCCUGCCAUGGACCCGCCUGACCGCAUACCUGCUGCCCGCUUCUCCCUGCCCAAGAGCAGCACACCGUACCAUCAGAAUGAAUACAUGGGCUGCCGCCACGGACUUUCUCUCCUAAUCGACAAGUUUGAGAGCCAGGCCGUCGUGUGGGAUCCCCUCACCGGUGAAGACCGCAUCGUGGCUUUUCCACCAGGGUUCAACAACAGCGUCGUGAGGAGGAAUUACUGUGCCUGGCAUGGCGCUGUAUUGUGCGUCGAUGCCGAAGAUGGGCAUGUCCACGGCGAUUGCUUCUCGAGCCCGUUUGAAUUGGUUUUGGUCUGUGCUGACUACGAUACACCGGCAUUUUGUUCUGUCUACGACUCGGCGUCUGGUGUUUGGGGAAAUAUUUUCUCGACGAUGACGAUAACAGCUGGAAUGUCUAGGUUAAAAAGGCCCAGCAUCCUUGUCGGGAAUGCACUUUUCUGGUUGAUUUGUCUAGGUGAAGUCCUUGUGUUUGAUUUGGAAUGUCAGAGCCUUGAUGUGAUCGAGAAGCCGGCAUUCUACUAUGUUACCGACGGGUGUUUUCAGAUCUUACAGAUGGAGGGUGGUGGACUUGGCCUUGCUGUUUUGUUGGACCUGACCAUCCAAUUGUGGGAGAGGAAAUCUAACUCUGAUGGUGUCGUCGGAUGGUUGUUGCUGAAGAAAACCAUUCCACUGGAAGGGAUGUUUCCAAGGAAAAUGAGUUCUGUACGUUUCGUCGGGUAUGAUGAGGACACAAAUGUGACUGUUCUCACUUCGAUGACCGGCAACUUCACGCUCCAACUUGACUCGGUGCAGCUCAAACAUAUUGUUAAAACAAACAACAUAUGUUACGACCCGUUUUAUCCCUACACAAAUUUCUAUACUGCAGCAAGGCAGGGCAGUCGGUCAGGAAGGGGUGAAUCUGGAACUAAUUGUGAUCGGACCAGAUCUGCUAACAUACUAUCUUGGUCGAACAAUUUAGGUACUAGCAAGGUGCAUGGACAAGAAGCAGCAGUAAUUUCAAAAGUAUUCUCUGAUCUGACACUGAUAUUCGCCACCGAUCUUGGACUUGCCAUUUUCGACACUCGUCCAUUAAAGUCGGUUCUCCAGGAAAAACAAGAGACCACCGCAGCCUGGGCUGAUCCCAUUCCCAGCACGCCGCGUGUCGACGGCAGGAGGCUGCGCCGUUCUGUGCCGCUGGCCGGCCCUGUGUCCGAGGUGCUUGGCAACGACAACCUCGUCAUCGAGAUCCUCGUUCGCCUCCCUCCGAAGCCGUCCUCGCUCCCCCGCGCGUCCAUGGUAUGCAAGCGCAAACGCUUCCUUAAGCACCACCGGAAGCCUCCUCUGCUCGGCUUCUUCCAAGGCUAUGCCAACCGCUUUGCUCCCAUCAUGGACUCGCCAAACCGUGUCCCUGCCGCGAGCUUCUCCCCGCUCAGGAGCAGCACACCCUACAACGGCCACGGGGAAUACAUGGGCUGCCGCCAUGGCCUCUCUGUCGUAAUCAACAAGCAUGAGCGCAAGACUGUUGUGUGGGACCCACUCACCGGCCGACAUCACAUCGUGGCUUUUCCACCAGGACUCGACGACGCCUUUACGGAGAGUUUCUGUAUGUGGCAUGGCGCUGUGUUGUGUGCUGACGCCGAAGAUGGGCAUGUGCAUGGAGAUUGCUUCUCGAGCACGUUUAAAUUGGUUUUGGUCUGCUGCGGUGGAUACAAUACACAGGCAUUCUGUUCUGUCUACGACUCGGCGUUUGGCGUCUGGUGUUUGGGGAGAGGUGAUAUCCUUGUGUUUGAUUUCGAAAUUCAGAGCCUCAAUUCCAUUGAGAAGCCAGCAUACUACAAUAUUACCGACGGGUGUUUUCAGCUCUUGAGUAUGGAGGAUGGUGGACUUGGCCUCGCCGUUUUGUUGGACCUGACCAUCCAAUUAUGGGAGAGGAAAUCUAACUGUGAUGGCGUUGCCGAAUGGGUGUUGCUGCAGAAAACCAUUCCACUGGAGGGGAGAUACCAGAAAGUUUUGCUUUGUACUCUGAGCCUCUCACAUGGGCUUGGCACAGAAAUUGACGCUCAAAACAUCGUGCUAUGUAGUUCUAGCAAGGUGGAUGGACAAGAAGCAGUAGGCUCUAGCAGUUUACACAGUUUCUUUGUGAAGUCCCCUAACCGUGAGUCUUGGUCACAUCAGCUCUUGCAGCAGAGUAAUUUGUGUCUCCUGUUUGAUGCUUAUGCACUUACAUGGUUCGGUGUCUGGAUAUUUGUCACCAAUAACUUGUUUUCAUGCUUAUUAACUUUUGUUGGAUUUCUUGGUUGCAAGGCCAAGAUACACAGAGGAGAUGUUUGCCUGGUUCUGUCCUAUUCUGGAUCUGUCAUAGAGAUUCUUCUUGUCCUGUGUAAACUGAAGAUAUCUUCCAGAUCAUGGACUUGCCAUUUCCGACAUGUGUCCAAUAAGUCGGUCCUCCAGGAAAAGAGUGGCCUGGCGAGAAAGCCAACUUGUGACUGCCGUGGCCUGGGGCUACGUGCGCACAAGGAAAAUGCUGCCUUAGAUCGUUGCUGCUGUCAAAAUCAAAAUGUUUGGCCAUGCGGAUCGGAGAAGUUUCUAAGAAAAAAGCCGCGGACCGGAGAAAGGAGGAGCGGAGCCGCCGGCGACCUCACCCCACCGCCCCAUCUCCGGCAGCCACCCACCGGCGAUUCGAGGUCUGGCUACCCAAUCUACUCGUUCCUCUCCCUCUCCAUCUAA
rnacentral:rRNA from 1 species